rnacentral:lncRNA from 1 species
AUGAUGUGGUUGCUUUUUCUAUAAAACACCAAUUUAUUUCACCCAAGACUAGUGCGUUGCCUGUGUUCUAAACCAGGCUGCUGCAGACACCUUGGCAGUGGGACUGCUCUAAUGGGCUGAGCUAUCACUCUGAGCUACCACACUCAGCUCACUGACCACCCCACUGAGUCUUCACUUAAUUACAUGGACUGACUGGCUUUUGUAAGCAUUUCUCUUCACGAAAUUCUCUCACUACAAAGUUGUUUGUAACAGGUUUUUAGAGCCUUGGCACACACUUAGAAGUAUUUUGUAAUCCUUUGAUAGCAAACUUUGACCCCAAUUAGUUUAGAAAGUUUUUCUGAAACAGUUUAGAAUCCCUGCCUAAAGUUCUUCUAAGGGUUCCCCUCCUCCGAUGUUUGGUGUCUUCAUGACCUUGGCUUUGCCUGUCUCUAUUAUUAACAGUCUCCAUACCCAAACAGAAUCAAACUCAGCUUUCUUUUCAGCCUACUUUGGAAUGUUUGGUUGCCUGGAGAGCUCACCCUGUUUGAAUAUAGGAAUAAUGAUUUUUCUAAUCUCCACAAUAUCUCUGAGACCUUUGUUGUUAUUUUUUAUUACAAUACGUCUCUUCUUUUCCCCACCACAUUUUGUGCCUUGAUGAAGUUGGAAACGUUUAUAGAAAUAAGAAGACCAGGCAAAAUUCAUGGAUGUUUGAAAAAUAUCCCAUUAUGGCCUUUUUACUUUUACAUCAAUUAUUGCAUAUACACAAUAACUGAAUGUUGCUUUUAUGAACAUUGACAUUGUCAAGUUUGGAGCUUAGUCAUUUUUAAAACAGUUUUCAGCAAAAGUUAUACAUUUGUAGUGGGAUAGAAACACCAUUUUCUAAUGCUUGAGCCUAAAAAAAUAAGCGCAUGCAUCUAAACUGACACAAAAAUGUAUCUCUGAAUAAUUAUCUGCGUAUCGUGCCAGCUUUACUAAUCAUAAAUAGGCUUUUCUUUUCACAGGUUCUCAAAAAUAGAAUUGAUAUUUAAAUGCUUGAAAGCCUCGUUUUUGUGUUGGCUUGGAGUCUAAUAUAAGAUGGGAGUCGCAGAGUCAUUGGAGGCUUCUAUUGCUUUCCUCCCGACUUCCAUUACUGUUUACUCCUAGUUUCUGUCCCCCUUUCCUGUGGCCGGUAGAGUUCCUCUUCUGAAAUUGCGAAAUACAUUCAUGAUGCCAGACAUGGUGUUGUUUUUCUUCCGUUACCAUUUAUGUUUGUAGAAAUUAUACUGCCCACUUUAGUUCUUUUCCAUUGGGAUAUUUCUAAUAAAUAGCCUCAACAUACACAUAGUCAUUGGCUUGGGUAAGCAAGAGUAUAUGCCCACCCCCACCCCCAUAGCCUUGUUUUCACUGGACCUUCCUCUCAAAUAUGCCACUGGUCUGUGCUUACACAUUCCUCAAACUCCUCCCCCGUGUAAGGGUUUGGGAGAUUCUGAGAUGCCUCUUCUUCUCCCUGGGUUAACUCAAUAUGUCUGUCCUGUGACUUUCACCGAUAGAAGGAUGUUUUCUUAAGAGAGUAUACUAGGUAGCCCUUCAGACAGAGUUCUCGUAUAUGGGAAAUAAGAGACGGUUCAUAUUCAUGGAUGUUUGAAAAAUAUCCCAUUAUGGAUAUAAGAAAAAAUACAAUAGACUAUAUCUCCCUUCAUCGGAUGGCUUCAAGUCCAUAGAAGUAUUUUGUAAAUACUUAGUGAAAGCAGUAAGAAAUAGGAACGUGAGAUCAAAUCUUUCAUUCUUCAGAUGUAUGAAACAUUCCUGUCAUGUAGAAGUGCAGCCCAGCACAUAAUGACUUUAUGGGUAUUGUUGAGAUACUUAACCCAUGCAAGACUAUAACCCCAGCAAUGUGCAUUUACACAACUUUGCAUUCCUUAAAGAGUGGGGAGCUAUAUCCAUGGCCUUUCAUUUCACAGAAGUUGUCGAAAAGUAAUUGCUAGUGAUUCAGAACAUUUAAGCACAAUAAAUAUUUCAUAAUUUGAAAGAUAAUAAACGCAUAUUUAAUGUGCAGAACAAUAACUACUGGAAGGUGAUCAAAUGAGCAAUAUACAGGUCACAGUUUUACCUUUUAAAAGUUCAGUUGUAUGUUUAAACGGCACUUAUUAUUUUCUUGGGUGAAAAGAAUAAAGCAUAUAUUUUGGCCCCCAUGAAAGUGUAGAAAUGGAUGACAGAUCUACUUUUUGUUUUUGCUAGAUACUACUUAGGAAAUGUAACAAAUCAAGACACACCAGUAACAGAGCACCAGGCAGUAACAAGGAUGUGGGGCUCAUUAAUUAGUAGAGGACUAUUUAUCAUCUUUCUCCUGUACUGACUGUCAUACUCUUGGGUUUGGUCUCCCAAAUUUUGCCGUGUAAUGACAACAGUAUGUGAAAUUGCUGUUGGUUUUGGUUGAGUUGGAGGACCACUUAGAGAAGUCAUACAGGAUCCCAGAACUCUGUGAGCAGGAGGCUACAGAGCCGAGGGGCUAUAGAAAAGCUUUCAGCGGGCUCAUUUGUGUGGCCUGAAUGGCUCACUGGGAGAAAUACAGCUGGUGACAGUUAUCCAGGGCUGGCUCAGGUUAAUGAAUUGUGCUUUGUUAUCCUGGGGGAGUUUCCACCCCUGGGAAAGCUGCCUUCCCCCUGUUCCCCUAACUGCACCCCUGGCUGCUUGAAAUAUUGUUCCCCUUUGUUUUCUCGUGCUCCGGAGUUGGAGUGAGGAAAGGCAGAUUCAUUUAUUGUUUAGUUGACUCAGAAUGACUGCAGUUCCACAAACAAAUUGGACUUCAGUUAGGCGGGCCUCUGUCAUAAAUAAACCCGGAAGAGAUGGGCUUCUCUCUCUGGGCUGAUGUGCUUCAGCUGUGUGAAACCCCCGCGUCUAAAAGGGCCUGAUUGAUUGCUGCGCUGGCUGACAGCAGAGCGCGCACAGCCCUGUUCCUCCCUCUGCUCCCCUGUUUCUGUCUCUGCUCCCCUAAAGCACAUUGAGCAAAAGUUUAUGGUACAGGAAACCAAUAUUCUAUUUUCUGAAUUAUUCUUUUCAUUUUAGGCUCCAUUUAAAGAAAACUCAGCUCUAUGAUACAUCCCUCUCAGUGAUAAUUCUUCAUGAUCUGGAAAGAAAACCUAUUUUAUAGAUUGGUUAAGGGCAUUUUCCACGGCUGGGUCAGGUGAAUCACCAUUUUCACAAAUAAUGUGUUGGACAUUUUAAAAUUUAACAACAUGUUUUUGCUAGAGGCUGCAGCUAUCUUAGCAAUACCUUUAAAUGCCUCUUUUCAGUGACUGUAAAAUGCAUUUUUUCCAUUAAAGUGUAUUUACUUCAUUUUGUUUCGUGUGAUUCAGUUUCAUAAAUCAUUUGGAGACAUAGAAAAUCUGUCAUUUCCCUCCCUGGUAGGAAAGUAUAUUCUUUAUACUUUAUGGGUAUUAAGUACAUACUUGACACUUAUGG